rnacentral:SRP_RNA from 1 species
GCCGGGCGUGGUGGCUCACGCCUGUAAUCCCAGCCCUUUGGGAGGCGGAGGUGGGUGGAUCAUCUGAGGUCAGGAGUUCAAGACCAGCCUGGCCAAUAUGGUGAAACCCCAUCUCUA